rnacentral:lncRNA from 1 species
AACAGAAACAUUCUCUCUACUCCUACAGACCAUGCAGUGUGGCAGAGAGACUGAUGAUCUAUAGCACAGGGUGGAUAUAGCUGAUGAGAUUAUGGGAGUCAUCACAGGGCAGCUUCAUUAAGUUGGACCUGAAAGAAAAAUUAGCAGCUGGCAGCGACAAAGACAGAAGAGACAAAAGACUUUUUACAUUGCAAUACAACAGCAGAGCACAGGAAGCCAAUGCGCAGCGUUCACAACAGAGAAGCAGGGGUGGGCGAGCAAGCUGAAGCAAGGCUUGGAUUUCUUACCUACAGCCGGGCCACACGCACAAACAUGGAGAAAAUGAGGCAAAAGGUAAAUGCCAUCACAGGGAGCUAGAGGUCUGCGUCUAAACCAGGUGAUGGAACAACCAGCAGUUUUACUGUUUAAGAUGGACACUGAAUGGCUUGUGCAUGGGCGUCAGAGAUUCGGAAAACAAAGAGAAAAUGGGUACACAAUGGAAAAUUUAAAGUGGUCUGAAUAUUUUCCACAAAAUGUGUUCUAAGGCUUUACACACCCAAUCUGCAUGGAGAUGUUCACUUUAUGGAAUUUAAGUAAUCCCAUUAAGUGAAAGAAGGGCUUAAAAUGUGAUCAACUGUGUCAUACUUGUAUGUGGUCCUGUAAGAAUAAAAGUUAAUUAAGACACACAGUCUUGAUACAGCAGAUCCAGGGUUCUGACUGUUGGGAAAUAUACAAAAGCACAUUUUUGAAUUAAACACCUAAGUUAACACUACAGCCUAAAAAAAGUGUCCAUUUUUUAAAAAAACAGGGGUGCCACAUUUAUAGUUUUUAUUUGCAUAGGUGUUAGGUUUAUGUUAUUUCAGGAAUUCCUUGGAAAUUUAGCUCCAAGAAAUGUCUUGUCUUUAGAAAGAAGAUGAUCAUGAUUUUAAAAAAAUAACCAAACAAAAAAUCAAAAUCAACAAAAUUCUCUCAAGCUACAAUUAAAACCUUAAAUUUAAUUUUAAAAUUAUUUGUUUAACAAUUCUGAAGUCCUACUUUCUUAAUAGUAUAGGGAUGUUAAUUUAGAUUCAUAGUGAAUUCAACUUUUCAAAAGUUAAUCUUACCUAAAAUAUACUAGUAAUCGGCAGUCAUGCAUUACACAACUGGAAGCACAGAUGAUAACUGGAGUAUAUGGAGAAUGGUUUUGGUGACUAGGGUGGUGAAGUUACAGCAAUAUUUAAAUAACAGAAAAACAGUACUUGUCCUUACAAUUCAUGCUGUCAAUCCCUGGAGCAGGAAAGAGCAGAGAAUUUUCUCCUCUAACAAAUCAGUAACUACUUACUGUGAUAUUUUGGUCACAUAGGGCUUAAACAAUGUUUAAUAAAUUCCCCAUUGGUGGCUCAUUUUAUUUUAAAUAUUUCUAGUCACGUUUUGUAGUCUGUUCAUCACAUCAUAACUUCUCUGUCAGAUUGCUCUCAGAUCUCUGAAUUUGUUUCCAUUGACAUAAUGUCCGUUCUGACUCUUGACAUAGGUGUCAAAUACAAAAACUGUCACCAUAAUAAUUUACAAGCUUUUUUUCUGUAAGUCAUUAUUUGUUCU